rnacentral:rRNA from 1 species
GAUGAACGCUGGCGGCGUGCCUAAUACAUGCAAGUCGAGCGAACAGAUAAGGAGCUUGCUCCUUUGACGUUAGCGGCGGACGGGUGAGUAACACGUGGGUAACCUACCUAUAAGACUGGAAUAACUCCGGGAAACCGGGGCUAAUGCAGGAUAACAUGUUGAACCGCAUGGUUCUACAGUGAAAGGCGGCUUUGCUGUCACUUAUAGAUGGACCCGCGCCGUAUUAGCUAGUUGGUGAGGUAACGGCUCACCAAGGCAACGAUACGUAGCCGACCUGAGAGGGGGAUCGGCCACACUGGAACUGAGACACGGUCCAGACUCCUACGGGAGGCAGCAGUAGGGAAUCUUCCGCAAUGGGCGAAAGCCUGACGGAGCAACGCCGCGUGAGUGAUGAAGGUCUUCGGAUCGUAAAACUCUGUUAGUAGGGAAGAACAAAUGCGUAAGUAACUGUGCGCGUCUUGACGGUACCUAAUCAGAAAGCCACGGCUAACUACGUG